UAGGGUGACAUUUGCGACGUUGAACCACCUUGUUCCAUCCCGAACCAAGAAGUGAAAGACGUCAGCGCCGAUGAUACUGCCGCGCAUGCGGUUGGGAAAGUAGGUCGUUGCCCCCU
rnacentral:rRNA from 1 species